GGGUCAAUGGCGCAGUUUGGCAGCGCGAUCGCUUCGCAUGCGAUAGGCCUCCGGUUCGAACCCGGAUUGAUCCG